rnacentral:tRNA from 1 species
ACACUGUUGGUGAAGUGGUUAUCAUGCUUGCCUUCCAUGAACCCCUGACCUGGAUGUGAUGAGCAAGCGGCUCGGGUUCGAUUCCCGAACGGUGUA